rnacentral:rRNA from 1 species
UCCGGUGACAAAGCGCAGGGGUAACCACCCGUUCCCAUUCCGAACACGUAGGUUAAGCCCUGUGCAGCUAUGGUACUAUGAGGGUGACUUCAUGGAAGAGUAAGCCAUUGCCGGGU